rnacentral:lncRNA from 1 species
AUCUUAUCGCAUUGGUGAUCAAACAUUAAGACCACCAAAUUAACGUGUGGUUCGAGUACAACUUUCUUUGAUAAGGAUAUUUUUAUUAUCAUUCUUUAGAGAGACCAUAGUUAUUAAGAAGGUUUGUAUUAGCAAUGAGAAGUGAAGAGGUGGUGUUGUCCUUCUCUCUUCUUCUUCUCUCGGUGCCGCUAUUAUGCUUCCAAAUAUGUUUGGGAGUUGAUACUCUGAAGGGUACCCAGAGCAUAACUGACUCCGGAAAACUUGUUUCAUCAAACGCCACAUUUGAGCUCGGCUUCUUUUCUCCUCCUGGUGUGAGUGGCGAGAAAAGAUACCUGGGGAUAUGGUAUCACAAGCUGGAACCACAAACAGUGGUGUGGGUUGCCAAUAGAGAUGACCCUGUUGCAGAUUCUAGUGGAGUUUUUCGAAUUGCGGAGGAUGGAAAUGUGGUCGUUGAAUAUGCAUCCAAAAGCCUCUGGUCCUCCAAACUUGAACCAUCCUCGUCCACAAAUAGAACAUUGAAGCUCCUAGAUUCGGGGAAUCUAGUACUAACAGAUGACUCUGAAACGAGAUGCCUGUGGGAAAGCUUCAAAAACCCAACAGACACGUUUCUUCUCGGCAUGAAAAUGGACGCGACUUUGUCGUUGACUUGUUGGAGAGACCCCGCUGACCCAGCCCCUGGGAGCUUCACCUUCAAGAUGGGUCAUCGUGAAACCUUGGUAGUGGAAAACCAAUCGCAACUUUACUGGACGGAGUCACUGGAUGGAUCCGGUACAAAGAUCUCUGGGUUCUUGGGCUCGGAUACUUCAUUACUCAAGAAUUCAAGCAACUUGUCAUGUCUAUCAUCAAAACCAUACAACAAAAAGGAAAGGCUGUUAAUGAAUUCUAGCGGGGAGAUACAGCUUCUGAAGUGGGACGAGGACGACAGGCAAUGGGAUAAAAAAUCGUCGGAGCCAGCUAGUAUGUGCGACGUAUAUGACCAUUGCGGGAGCUUCGGCAUCUGUGACGCAAAUAAUUUGAAUUUCCUCACUUGCAAAUGUUUGCCAGGAUUCAGACCCAGGGAUGAAGAAAUCCGUGGCCAAGGGUGUGUGAGAAAAUCAACGUCUUGUAUUGAUACGAAUGUGACGUUCCUGAACUUAACCAACAUAAAAGUGCGUGACCCAGACGAAAUGCAUGGAUCGGAAACAGAAGCAGAUUGUGAAUCCUUAUGCCGUAACAUAACCAUUACCAAGUGUCCUCAGUCCCAGUGCCAGGCAUAUUCAUAUAGUUCUAGAGCGGAGUUUGGUCGAGAUGAUGGUAACUCUACAUGCAAGAUCUGGAGGGGAAAUUUAUCCACUCUUGUAGUUAAUGGUAUAGGUGGUCGCAAUCUUUCUGUCCUGUUUAAGAGAUCAGAUAUAGGUAAUUUAUAUCUUCUUAAUUCAUCUCUUAUGUGUUAAAGAAAAAUCAUCUCUCAGCAAACGAACUUCUAAUCUGCUUAGAAAAAUCACUUGCGGUUCUUUGUUUCUUUAUGUGGGUGUUGUUUAGGUAGGUAUUUCUUUACCCUAACACUGAAUCAAUAUGUUGUUGCGCAGAAGCAACUGCCAAAUCGUGUGAUCCUUGCGGUACAUACGAGAUUCCUUAUCCGCUAAGCACUGGGCCAAACUGCGGAGACCCCACCUACAACAAGUUCAAUUGUAACGAAUUGACGGGCAACCUUACAUUCACGAUGCCGGGGGGAAACUCAUACGAAGUUACUUGGAUCGAUGAAGAUAAGAGAGUGUUUUACAUUAAAGUAGAUGAUUCAUAUUCCUGUGGUUCCAGAAAUCAAAAUAAGACUCCUAAACUCCCAUUCAGUUUAGCUGAGCCAGAGUGUUCCAAAAUUGAUGGAAUGAUUAAAAUGAAAUGGGCAGCAGCACCAGAACCGCCGUGUCGGAAGCCCCCAGACUGCGAGAAUAGGCCCCAUUCGACAUGCAUGGUAACAAGUGAUGGAGGUCACAGGUGCCUUUGCGAUUCACACUAUAAGUGGAAUCCCACAGUUAUGAUAUGUGCCAAAGGUUAGCGUUUUAUUAUUCUCUCUUUCACUUUUCUCUUUGUCCACCACUAUUUCAACUUGUAUGUAUUACAUGAUCAUUGUAAAACUAUUUAUAUUUUUUUUUUCAAAAUUUUAAAGUUUAUAAAACAUAAUAAACAUAUAUAACUAAAUUUAUUUAAAUUUAAAUUCAAAUUAAAAAUUAAUUUUUAAUAUCAUUGCAUUAAAAAUUUACUAAUUAUUGUUAUUAUUUACGUAUAGGAAUAACAUUGCAAUCUCAUUAAUUGUAAAAAAAAUAAUUCCUAUAUGGAACAAUUUCCCUCUUUAAUUUAUGGAAAAAAAUAUUUAUAUUUUGUUAUAUUGCACAUACAUAUGUUUCUUCUUAUGGCUUUAUUGGAUAUAAAUAUUUCAAAAUUGUGGACUGAAUAUAAUUAAAUAUGGAUAUAUAUGUUGGAUUCACCACGACAAAAAUACAUAGAACAUUGAAAAUGAAAAGAAGCACUAGUUCCUCAAAUAAUAUAUAUUGUGUAUAUGAAAACAAAUAUAGAAAAUUAAAUAAGCCUCUAAACCCUCAAUGUAUACAUAAAAUGUAACUGAAAGAAUAAAAAAUCAUUACACAUCUUCAACUUUUAGAUAACACUUAAGCAAACAAGCACUAUAGAACAUCAUCUCCUAUAUAGUCUAAUGCAUAUAUAAUCUAUUAGUCAUUGAAACAACAAACCAAUAAUAUACAUGUUUUAAGUUUUACAAACACUUUGAUUAUUCUUUGUUAUCUUUCAAUAGAUCUAAUUAAGAUUUUUUUAUCGAUCCUAAUAAGACUAUUUUUUAAUUAAUAUUAAUAUAAAUUAUUUUUAGUUGACAUUGUUGAAAUUAUUUAUUUUUCGAUGUAGACUAUAACUAUUCUUCAGUUGGUGUUUAUCAAAGUUUACUCAACCAAUAUUGAUAAGUUUUUUUUGUGUAGAUAUAUUAAUCAAAUUUUUUUCUGAUAAAGUCUGUAAUGAUUAUUUUUUAUUGAUAUUUAUAAAUAUAAAGUAAUAAUUUUAUAUUUGAUGUGGUAAUUAAAUAAUAUAUCUAAAUAAGAAAGUUAAAAUGUAAUAAAUUUGAACUACAUUCUCAAAAUAAAAUAUUUAAAAAGUUAAAAGAUUUGAAACAAAAGUAAUUUAAAAAUUUAAUAUAUUUUUGAAAUUUUUAAAUAUUUUAAAAUUGUCAAAUUUCACAUAUGAUAUGUAAAAGUCCGGAACAAGUAUAUGCUGCAAACAUAUAAGUGUACAGCUGCAUUAGUUAAUUAACUCUUUUUUAUUAUUGUGUUUUGGUGUGGUUAAGAAGUUUCAUCUUGUAUUUUUUGUAAGGAUCUUUUCGAUAUAAGUGAGUUAUUUUGGAUGAGUUAUUUUAGUUAGAUGUUAAAUUUGCUUUUAGGCCUUUUGAAAUAACUUGUGUAAUAGGAUUGCUAAAAUAUUCUUAUUUAUUAUAUUUUUUAUUGACAAUAAAAAAGAAAAAAUAACACUAUGUCCAAAAUCCCUUGUAGCAACAAUUCAAUCUAAUAACUACUUUCCUAACAACUAUUAACUAAUAAUGUUAUAUAUUUAUGGAUAAUGAUACUUUGACUUCACUAAACACCUAAAUAAAUUAUUAUUUUAUUAUUAUAUAAUGUUUUAUUUUAAAAGAUGAUUGCAGAGUAGUUCUUUUUUACUAUUAGAGUAUUAAACAAACUUUAUUCUAUAAUAUAUCAGGAUACAUAAUAAUAUACUGUCUUAUGCAGAUAUUGAAUAUGUAGUCAUUUUGAUUGAUCCUAGAAACAAAAUUUAUACACAAAAGAAAUUGCAUGAAUAAAAGAAUUCAAUCCUUAUUUAAUAUAAAAAAAAUAUGUUAUAUAAAACGCAUAAGUUAUUAACAAAGAAUAGAAAGUGUCAUAUUCAAUUUCAUCAUUCAUCCAAUCAAUAAUCCUCCUUAAAUUGAAACUAUAUAUUCCAAACCUCUUUUAUGAGAAUUCAAAUCUAGUCUUAAGAAGUACCUUUAUUAGGAUAUCUUCAUUUUUUGCAAUAUAUUAAUUUCACUUCUCAUGUUUUUUUCUUCUAUAAUAAAAUAAUGUUUGAUUUUUUUUUUCAUAAAAAGCAUUAAUUACUAUCAAUUGAAAUUGCAACUUGAUUCUCCAAAAAGAUAUUUUCUCAUAUCAAGUUAUUCCAUAUGCAAAUUUGUCAUGUGCUUUUUAUUUAUUUAUGUUAAGAGUUUCAUUAAUUUAAUAAUUGCAUUUACAUAUUAUGUUUUUCUUGUAGAUUGAGUUAUGACUUCUUACUUCUUUGAAUGCAUGGUAAAAAUUUGAGAACAAAGUCAAAAUGGUAAUUUGAAGUACUUUUUAUAUCAUCAAUACAUCUCGUCAAUCACUAUCAGAGUAGCUAAUAAGAAUAAAUUUUUUAACAUUAUUUUAUUUCAAAAUCAAUUGUACCCGUAACAUAUCUAAUGACUCUUUGCUGUAUGGAAAUGAAUUUUACUAGCACAACUCGUAUAUCUUGAUAACAAGGUUAUUGCAUGCAAGAUGUGAGGUCUUGUACUACUUAAAUACAUUAAGCAGUCCUUAAUACUCAUGUAUAACUUUUCAUCACCUUUUUUGUAGCUCUAUUUUCCAUGUAAAAACUAUCUUUUGUAUUCAUUGGAGUUACAAUUGAUUUGCUUAUCUUCCAUAUUAAACUUCUUGAAAAAUUCAUUUGCAUAUUUUUCUUUAUAAAGAAAUAUUUUAUUAUGAUUUUGAUAUACCUACAUACCAAGAAAAUAAGUCAUUUUUUAAAGGUCUAUCAUUUCAAAAACUUCUUUAAUUUCUUCUUUGAACUUUUCAAUAUGCUCACUACUACUCCCUAAAAGUAAGAGAUCAUCAACAUAUAGGAAUAUUAUAAGCAUUUCACAUCAAUAUUCUCAACAUAUAAAGUAGAUUCAAUCAGAAUUCUUUAAAAGCCAAAGUUGACCAAGUGGACAUCAAUUAUGUUAUACCAUGACCAUGAUGCCUCCUUUAAUUUAUAAAAAGAUUAUUAUUUAGUAAACUUUCUCUUACAAAAAACCCUUUAGGUUGCUUAGUAAACAUUUCUUCCUCCAAAUAUCCAUUCUAAAAAAGUUGAUUUUAUAUCCAUUUGAUGUAUAAUGCACCAUUUUUGAGGUGCAAUAAACAACAACAUUCUUAUGGUUUCUAACUUGACAAUUGAGGCAAAAGUCACAGAAAAAUCAACACUAAAUACCUGAUCAUAUCCUUUAACAAGUCAUGCCUUGUUUUUGUUUAUAGAACCAUUUAAAUCGAGUUUGGUUUAAUAAACCCAUCAGGCACCAAUAAUAUUUCUAUGUUGGGGUUUGUCCACAAGCACUUGUAUUUGACUUUCUUUCAAUCAUUUUAAGCUCCUCUUUCAUUACAUCAAUCCAUUUUUUGUUAGUUGCAUUUUUUCCAUAUCCUUCCAACUCCAAAACAACACACCUUUGGUAAAUGUCUGAAAGUGAUUUUGUUCCUCUUAUGGGUUUUUCAUCAACAUCUUCAUUUUCUCUUGAAAUUUAGGCUUAAUUUUUUCUUCCCAAUUUCAAUUAUUUGAUUCUAAAAAUGUCACAUGUCUACUAACUAUUACUUUUUUGCUUUGUGGUAGAUAGAUUAUGUAGAUCUUUGAAGUUAAGCUACAAUCUACAAAUAUUCCAAGUUUUGCUUUAUUGUAAUUUCUCUAUCUUUAUUUGAGGUAUUAAGAUAAACUAAGACAACCAUUCAAAUUUGUUAACUUGGGUUUGUAGUUGUGCCAUGCUUCAAAUGGAGUCUUCUUUUGCAUACUUGUCAGAAAUAUAUUUAGCAAAAACAUUGUUGUGUUGGUAUACUUAGGUAAAAUAUUUUUGGUAACCCUUUAUCAUGGAGUAAAAACCUUGUCAUUUCCAUAAUUCUUCGAACUUUUUCUCUUUACAACACCAUUAUAGAUUGUAUGGUGCUGUCAAUUGAUAUUCAAUGCCUGCAUCUGCAGAAAACUUGUUAACUUUUUCAAAGAUAUAUUUAGUUCAAUCAUCAAAUUUGAUUACAUGCAAUUUGCAUUCACUUUGAGUUUCAACCCAAUAUUUAAACUCAUGAAUAUAACAACAAUGUCAAGUUUAAGUUUCAUAUAGUAGAUGCAACUCAUCCUUGAAUAAUCAUUAAUGAACGCAAUAUAACAUUUUUUUUUUCAUUUAAUGAUGGUAUUUUCGUAGGUUCUCCUACAUAUGUGUGUAUUAGUUGUAACAUUUUUGAAGUCCUCCAAGUUUUGUGUUGUGGAAAAGAAAGUUUGGUUUGUUUUCCAUAUUUAGAGUUGAGGAAGAUCCAAAUUUUAAAAGAAGAUUUGAUCGUUAUAAUUAGAGUGAAAAUAUCUUGUGUAGAUAAUAACAAACAACAAAGAUAUUGUCUUGGACUUUCUUAUUUUCUUCUCCUUAUGUUGGUAGAGGAGAAAAUUCAUACUCUUCCUUAAAGCCUCCCCACAUAUCAUUUGCUUCUAGGUGGACCUUUGUUCUUAUUGCCCAGAUGCAAUAAUUAUCAUUAUAGGUGGUCGCCUAGUGUUGUAGAUGAAAUUUCAAAAUCUAUCUAUUUGAUGAAAUGGAAUUAAGUGCUUAGACUUUUCUAGUGGUUUCACUUUUUCACUCAAAGGUUCCUUUAACAAAAGGACUAUUUACCACUUUGUAGGAUAUUAAAUUUAUUGAUUGGUCAAUAACAAAAUUUAUACAAAAGAAAUGACGUGAAGAGAUGAAUAUAACUGUUUUAAUGCCUAAAGAUUUGUUAUAUAAAACAGAUGAAUUGUUACUAUGGGUUCUUAAAAAAAACAACAAAAGGAAAAAAAUUAAAAUUCAAUUUCAUGAGUUAUAGAAUCAACCGUGUCGUCCUUUUUUUUUUCAAUUUAGGCUGACAUCUGGGUUUCCUUUAAUAAAAUUGCUCCAUAAGUUUCACACACUUUGUUUCUUUUAAUGCUUAUAUUUGAACACCCACCAACUGCUUGUUAGUUUUCCUGAAAGCAUCACCCCUCCCACCCAUGUUUCAACGUGAGGUCAGUCCAUUGAAAUUAUCAAGACAAAAGAAAAAUAUGUAGAAAAGCAAAGAAUCCAAUAUUUGAUAUCAAAGUAAUUGUUGUAGAUCCCACAUCGACUAGAGAUAAGGACAUUUCAUAAUAUAUAAAUGGGUGCAGACCUCAACCCUAUGAGCCGGUUUUAUGGGGUUGAGUUAGGCUUAAAGUCCACUCUUUAAUAUGGUAUCAGAGCCAUUUCGAGCCUAUCCUAGCGAGUAUUUGUUGGGCCUAUCGGGCCACCCGCUAUCGGGCCGCUAUCGGACCACCCAAAAUAUAUAGUCCCACGCACGAGCUCUAUGAGCCGGUUUUAUGGGGUUGAGUUAGGCUUAAAGUCCACUCUUUAAUAAUUUUAAAAAAGAAAAUACUUGACUCAAAAUAAAAUAUAAUAAUUAUAUAAUUAGUCUAUUUAUUUUUAGAAUUAUUUUCAUCAUCAUUUUUGCAACCAAACUAUCCAAUUUAACUCCAUCAUCUUCUUUCCUACCUUUCCAUUUAUUUGAUACCAAAGUGGUAGGGAGAGAAAAAAAACUUCAAAAAACAAUUUUAGAAUUUAAUUAAAAAAAUUUGUUUUACAAAUCGUUUUUAUUUUAUUUUAAAUUAAAUAAAAAUUGUGCUAUGGCCUACAUUUUUUCUUAUCCAUUUCUUGUUAUUUACGACUCAUAACAUUACUAGAUAAUUGCUGUAAAAAAAACACCAUUAAAUGGUCUUUUUGUCUAUAUCUGUUAUUUCAUUCCAAAUAUAUAUAUAUAUAUAUAUAUAUAUAUAUAUUUGUAUAUCUCUCCAACUAUUUUUUUAUACUGCUCCAGUAAUUAAAUAUAAAAAAAAAACUUAUUCAAAGAAUGGAUAUAUAAUCAAAUUACAACUGUUUCAAACUUAUUUAAUAAUACUAUUUUAAAAAUGCUUAAAUAUUUAAAUUUGGACACCAUUUCCAAUAAACGGGACUAAAUGUAAUAUUGACAAAAAUUAUUUUAUAAAAUCAAGAAUAUUAAAUAAAUUUAGCUAUGAUUCUAAAUGACUGUGAAAUUAAAAAAAAAUAAAAAUUUAUUUAAAUUGGCCUAGUAUUAGUUACUGUAACUAUAAUUCUGUUUUUUUUUCUGUAGAAUAUUAAAUGGAAUUUCAAGCAAUAAUUUUCUAGAAAAAUUAUACUCACUACAAGACAAUUAUUAAUAAAAAUUAAUUUUAGAAAUAGUUAUUUAUUAUAGAAGGAUCAGAGACCAUAGAAGGUUUGUACUAGCAAUGAAAAGAGAAGGGGUUGUGUUGUCGUUCUAUCUUCUUCUUCUCUGGCUGCUGCUAUGCUUCCAAAUAUGUUUGGGAGGAGAUACUCUGAAGGCUACCCAGAAGAUAACUGACCAAAGAAACCUUGUUUCAUCAAACGCCACAUUUGAGCUGGGCUUCUUUUCUCCUCCUGGUGUGAAGAGUGGCGAGAAAAGAUACCUGGGGAUAUGGUAUCACAAGCUGGAACCACAAACAGUGGUGUGGGUUGCCAAUAGAGAUGACCCUG